rnacentral:tRNA from 1 species
GGAGUUGUGGCUCAGUGGUAGAGCACUUGCCUGGCAUGUGUGAGGCUGUGGGUUUGAUCCUCCUCAGCACCA